rnacentral:misc_RNA from 1 species
CCUCGUUUGAUAUGGGUAAGUCGGCAGUGUAGAUGGAGAAUAGUAGGGGUCCGAGGACACUACCUUGCGGUAUGCCGGAUUCUAUUGGGAAUGUUGCGGAAGUGGCGCCUAGACAUUUGACUACGAAUUGUCUGUUGGUUAGGUAGGAUUUUAAGAUGGAGUAGUAUGGGUGGGGUAGGAUUUUUUUAAGCUUGUAGAGUAGCCCUUCAUGCCAUACUUUAUCGAAUGCCUGUUGGAUGUCUAGGAAUACGGCUGAGCAG